CCAUGAAAGCUGGUCUUGCAGAACUGGGCCUCCCACAUCUUUCAUUUGCCACCAGUUAUGCUUGCAUCUCAUCAGAUUUGGCUAAUAUUCUUCCCCAUCUAUGACAAAGGGGUUAAGCAUCUUCAAAUCUUUGAGGUCUUAGGCUAUUUGGAGAAAGAAUCAUGGCAUUGGGAAAAUGAAGAGAAAGAAAAGCUGGACAUUGGUCUUUUCCUGCCUUUGGAUUCCUGGGUCUGGACUUCUCAGCAUCCAUAAUCAUAUGUUUCAGGAGAAAGAAGACUAAUCAAAAGCAUUGUUAUGGCUACAUGGCAAGCCAUAUUUAAAGCUGCAAAAUAAAAAAUGCAAUUGGUCAUCAGAUGCUUGGCUGUUAUCAGUAGUGGGGAACAUUUAGCCCCCAGAGGGAAAAGAUCACAUUUGCAGUUUAUUUUAUAUUUAGCCGACAGGUCAUACUUUCAAAGAUCAUCCUAUUUAUGUGUGUAGUUGAGAGCACAAAUAUGCGUAUUUUGUGGAUUUAUUUAAGAAACAGUAAGAGACAAAUGGUUUCCCAUUCAAGAUCUUUAUCUGGGAAAAAUGUAACAUGAUGAUAAUGAUAAUGAUGAUGAUAACUGUGAUAUUGACUAUGAUGGUGUAGUAAGAGUAGCACUAUAUAUUGA